GUUCUCCCUUCAGCAGCACAUACACUGAACUUAGAGCAGCAUAGGGAAGAUUAGCAUGGCCCCUGAGCAAGGGGGCACAAAAACCUGUGAUGCAUUCCAUGCUUUU